rnacentral:rRNA from 1 species
CAGUCGCCGCGGUAAUACGAAGGGUGCAAGCGUUAAUCGGAAUUACUGGGCGUAAAGCGCACGCAGGCGGUUUGUUAAGUCAGAUGUGAAAUCCCCGAGCUUAACUUGGGAACUGCAUUUGAAACUGGCAAGCUAGAGUCUUGUAGAGGGGGGUAGAAUUCCAGGUGUAGCGGUGAAAUGCGUAGAGAUCUGGAGGAAUACCGGUGGCGAAGGCGGCCCCCUGGACAAAGACUGACGCUCAGGUGCGAAAGCGUGGGGAGCAAACAGGAUUAGAUACCCCUGUAGUCCCUGUCUCUUAUAC